GGAUGUCAGGGCAAUCUGGCUGCAACAUCUGUCACUCCAUUGAUCGCCAGGGCUGACUUGGCUGAUCUGGCUGGCUAGGCGGGUGUCCCCUUCCUCCCUCACCGUUCCAUGUGCGUCCCUCCCAAAGCUGCGAGCUUGGUCGAAGAGGAUCGCCUUCCGCCUUCCCCCAAUAGAGACCAGAUCGAGGGUAUAGGAGUAGCUGCGCUCCCCUGCUAGAACCUCCAAACAAGCUUUCAAGGAGUGAGUUUGAGAUCCCUUACAUCUUCUGUCUACAUUUUGUUUUAUCUAU
ensembl:misc_RNA 7SK 7SK RNA